UUUCCCCCUCCCCCCCAUCCUUUUUAAAGGAAGAGAAUCUUAAGAAAAAGAAACACCUUUUGGAUUUUUUUUUUCCCCUCCGCUUCCCCCUCUCCCCCUCCCCUCGCUGUGGCCUCUUGUUUAGCUUGUGGCGUGACCGUGAUGAAGAAAUGUUUCUGGGCGCCUGGCAGGGCGAUGUUUUUAUGUAAUGAGUCAGGAUUUUGCCAACGGAAGGAGCCGGCUCAGAGCGAGGACCGCGGGGUUGCCUCCCGCCCAGCACGGGAACCUGCUGCCGAGCGGCACCCGCUCCGCUCCUCGGGAGCCCCGCUCGCCUCGCCGGGGGCACGGCCGCGGGCACUGACAAGCGUAUGUCACAAAACUCUCUGGAUCUGAUACAGCCCCAGAGGAAGGACUGCAAAAGUCACCUGUAAAACUGUCUGCUGAGGCAAACAGCACUUUGUGAAUAGCCUGACCAAGAGUCAUUAACAUGAACGAACAAAUUCAUGGUGGUGUUCUAGAAGUUAGAACAGUAGCAACUAGUGCCAAGAUUCUGACUGAAAUGGAUCUUUAUGGUUGGAUUAUAAACAAGUGCAAAUAUAAAUUAUGAAGUACAGUGCUGACAUAAUCUUAAUUAUAGCUGAAAGAAGAUUGCCAGUGUGUAUACAGUGUAGUGAUACAGGAAUCAUUGUAAGUUAAUAAUGAUCAUUAAAAGAAAGCACAUAUUUCAAAAUCAUGCUUUCAUCAAGAUAAUACGACCUAUUUUACACUUAAGAAGUUAAAAGAAAAGCUGAAAUACUUGGAGAUCAUUAACUUAUCCAGUAGUUAGACUUGACAGGUGAUAUUACCUGAUAAAUAAUCUACUGAGUGACUGGAAUUCUUAACCAAAAUGAUAUUUUUUGUUGACUUCUGGGUUAUUGUUUGAUUUUGGUUUGUCAGUUUGG